UAUGUGAUCGUCUCUCGCAUAUCAAUAAGCGGAGGAAAAGAAACUAACAAGGAUUCCCCUAGUAACGGCGAGUGAAGAGGGAAGAGCUCAAAUUUGAAAUCUAAGGGUCCCUUUACGAAUUGUCCGAGUUGUAAUCUAGAGAAGUGUUUACCUGCUGCCGGACCGUGGUAUAAAGUCUCCUGGAAUAGGACAUCAUAGAGGGUGAGAAUCCCGUCUUCGACCUUACUUUCCCCGGCUUUGUGAUACACUCUCAAAGAGUCGGAGUUGUUUGGGAAUGCAGCUCAAAAUGGGUGGUAAAUUCCAUCUAAAGCUAAAUAUUGGCGAGAGACCGAUAGCGAACAAGUACCGUGAGGGAAAGAUGAAAAGAACUUUGAAAGAGAGUUAAACAGUACGUGAAAUUGUCAAAAGGGAAGCGUUUGACACCAGUGUUGUUUUUCUGAAAAUCAAUUAAAGAACUGUUUAUGCUAAGUUGUUUAGACUUUAUCAGCUAACUGUUUAGUUUUGAGCUUUUCUUUAAUGCACUUUUCAGUUAACAAGUCAACAUCAACUUCUUUUGCUGUAAAAAAGCUUGAGGAAGGUGGCUUGAGAUUCGUCUUAAGUGUUUAUAGCCUCUUGCCUAUGCAGUCGGAGAGAUUGAGGUCUGCAGCGUAGAUCCUUCGGGGCUAAAUGCAUUUGUGCUAAGUUAUAGCAUUUUAUAGACAACUUGUUGACUAUGAUUUGUCUUGUAGCUUACUCGCUUAUGUUAUUUUACCUACGCUUAGGAUGUUGAGUCGUAGAGCACGCAG
rnacentral:rRNA from 1 species